rnacentral:rRNA from 1 species
AGUCGAGCGAACGGACGAGAAGCUUGCUUCUCUGAUGUUAGCGGCGGACGGGUGAGUAACACGUGGAUAACCUACCUAUAAGACUGGGAUAACUUCGGGAAACCGGAGCUAAUACCGGAUAAUAUUUUGAACCGCAUGAUUCAAAAGUGAAAGACGGUCUUGCUGUCACUUAUAGAUGGAUCCGCGCUGCAUUAGCUAGUUGGUAAGGUAACGGCUUACCAAGGCAACGAUGCAUAGCCGACCUGAGAGGGUGAUCGGCCACACUGGAACUGAGACACGGUCCAGACUCCUACGGGAGGCAGCAGUAGGGAAUCUUCCGCAAUGGGCGAAAGCCUGACGGAGCAACGCCGCGUGAGUGAUGAAGGUCUUCGGAUCGUAAAACUCUGUUAUUAGGGAAGAACAUAUGUGUAAGUAACUGUGCACAUCUUGACGGUACCUAAUCAGAAAGCCACGGCUAACUACGUGCCAGCAGCCGCGGUAAUACGUAGGUGGCAAGCGUUAUCCGGAAUUAUUGGGCGUAAAGCGCGCGUAGGCGGUUUUUUAAGUCUGAUGUGAAAGCCCACGGCUCAACCGUGGAGGGUCAUUGGAAACUGGAAAACUUGAGUGCAGAAGAGGAAAGUGGAAUUCCAUGUGUAGCGGUGAAAUGCGCAGAGAUAUGGAGGAACACCAGUGGCGAAGGCGACUUUCUGGUCUGUAACUGACGCUGAUGUGCGAAAGCGUG